UUAUAUCAAUCAUUGGAAUACAUUACUUAUCCCUAUAUCUAUAAUAGGUUUAUUUUUUCUCGGUGUUCCCUUUAUUUAAUCGUGAAUGACUGGUGUAAAUUUAUUUUUGUAGCCUUGACCUAGUGAAGUUCGAUUCUCCCAGCGGAAAGAUGUCGCAAAUGAUAUUUAUUUGUUGUUAUGAUAAGUAAAACAAACUAUUUUGGCGUCUAAGAAACACCGCAGUCUCUACUGGUAGGUAUGAAUAUAGGUGUAUAACCCAGACGGCCUCGGUUGGAAUGUGGUUCUCUACCAGUGCUUACGGCCCUAUCCAACGUAUUUGUGCCAGCGGUAGAGACUAGUAAUUCUGACUUCUAGAUUGCAAUGUGGCGAUCGUAUUCUUCAUACAUGGAGAAGGUUAUAAUUGAGGCAGCAUUUGCGCCAAAGCGGAUUUUACCUUUAAUCGAAUCAUAGUUAUACAAUUUCAAUAUAGUUGCAUGUUUGGUGCCUUGUAACAUCCUCUGCUUAUUUUUUCACUUGGUAUGAAAACAACAGGCCAACUCCUUAAUUCUCAAACUAUUGUUUUGACCAUGAAAGUUGACAAAACCGCUCGACCUACCAGGAUCAGGUGAAAGUAAGAUCGCUUACGAUAUGUUCGUAUUUAAUUUCAUAUCCAUUAAUGGUAAUGUAGUAAUUACAAACUGAUUGUUUUGUCAACAUAUUAUUUAUUCUUAGUUUUGCAUUAGUUAGGUUCUUUGACAACGCCUUGUCCAAACCAAAUUCGAAAUAACUCACGAUAGAAUUAAAAACUACAAGAAAAUAUUUUAAUUAUCGUAUAAACUGGCUUAUUGUCUGAUUCCUAAAACCUAAAAUGAUUUUACGUAUUCACAAAAAAGAUUUAAUGAUUGUAUUGAAUGAUGUUUUUAUAAUUACUGUACUUUUGCUUUAAGCCCAAUUCUCUCAAUUCGUUGAAACUUUAAAAUGGAAUGACAUUUUUAACUUUUUGG